UCCCGUGUGGCUCAGUUGGUAGAGCAUGGUGUUUGCAACGCCAGGGUUGUGGGUUCGUUUCCCACGGGGAA
rfam:Salmo salar isolate Sally breed double haploid chromosome ssa09, whole genome shotgun sequence.